UUUUUUUUUUUUUUUAAACAGCACAUAAAGGUGAAGGGACUACUUCUCUGCAGAACAGAUAUGCUAGAGAUUAACUUGAGUUGUUCUCUUUCACCCUAAAUUUUCUUCUGCCUCCAUCGUGCUCCGAAGUCACGAUACAUCUGUGACAGAAUAACUCCCAUGGUAACAGACUGACAUCAUAAACACCAGAUUAAGACUUGGCUGCAAAGCCAAAGGAGAUGAUGAGCUGGGAAGGAAGAAGCUAUAAUUCAAACAAAUCUCUUCCAUAACAGCUAUGGGAAUACUAAACAUUACUGGCCAAGUAAAUUGCCUUUUGUAGAAGUGUUCCCUUUUUUGAAGUUUGCCCCUGUGUGAAAGUCCCUCUGUAAGUCAGAACCUUAGCAUUAUUUUAAUGUACUGUUCUGGAUUUAAUAAUCUCAUGCUUCAGACAGUAGUCUGUUACCAUGGGAAUGACAGCAGCACAAAUGCAGGAUUACGGCUAUCAAGCAGGAGAAAAGAAAUUAUGAAUAAGCCUCGUUAUGUUCAAUAAUUAGCAGCGACAUGGAAAAAAACAAAACCAUGAAUUUAGGUUGAUGCAUUUAUCUCAGUGUUUGAAUACAACUCUGAGUGUGUUAUUGCUUUAAAAUGAGAUUCUAACAAACUGCCAAAAAAAUUCUUGACUAGCAGUUGCUACUCAGUGCUGUAAUUUUAAAAAUCCAUCCUGUCCAUCCCUUUCUUCUAUUUUAAUUCUUUCCCUGCAGAAGAUUGGGAGCUAAUGGGUAAUAUACAACAUCCCAAGAUGGAUUCUGGUACCUUGAGCCAACAUUUCUGGGGAAAAGCAUGGUGAUACUGAACAUUACCAGUUUCUCUGCCUCAGUUAACUUAACUGUAGAAGAAACCAUUCCUGCAAAGAGGACGCUGCUCUCUCCACCAUGGAAAGUCUACGUGUCAAGAUGUAGAAUGGUCACUGUAGAAUGGUCCUGCUAAUACGCACAAGGGAUAAAGCCUUUCUUCUAACGUGACAGUAGAUUUACCAUAAUGACUAAGGAAGUAUUCUAGGCAGUUAGAACUUUUCUUAGCAAGGCCCGUGACUUUACCAACUGCAGAAGAGAUCAGCAAAAUGGUGAAAACACAUUUUGAGACGUCCAGGGCUGCUAAAGCAGUCCUUCCCUAAAUCAAAGACUACACUCGAAUACAAAAGCAUGUACUAAGCCAUGCCAGAGCAUAAAGUCUUCCCUCAAUUUUGGGGGGAAAUGAGGGUACUAUGAGACCUCUGGCAUCCUGUGGAAUCAUCAGCUGCCUCCGUGAAAGUAGCAAGGUUAACAUGACCCCAUCUAAAGCAGGUGGCAAGAACAAAAUCUGAAUCCACUCUUAAACUGGUGAACAUCUGACAGCUCCUUGGUACUUUCAGACUUCUCCACUCCCCUCUUCCAUGAGGCUUCUGCAUUCUAAGGCAAUGGUACAACACAUCAUUGGAGGAAAGUAAUUUUAGAACGUGCCAUCCAAAUUAACUGGUCGUGAAUAGGCUCUGAUUAAAAUAUAAAGAGCUUUUAAAAUAAUUUAAAAUGAUUCACUGGAACUAAUUUAGAGAUAUUUUAAUCUCUGAAUGUGCAAUGAACUGUAGUCUCCCUUGGCCCCAGCCUUUCCUUGGAGACGGACAUUUCUAGUUAGGCCUUUGCCAUGGGUAAGAGGUACCUGAGCCGUGCAAGCCACACUACCCAUAUGCCUGUGUUUCCCUCUGCCUUUCUGAUAUAUGUUUUUCCAACUCUGACCCUGUUCUCUUCCCACUUUCCAAACCAGACUGUGUAUACUUCCCCUUCUCAGUGACUAUCGGCUCAUCUGUUUACUAUGCUAGAUGGCUAGAUAACUUUGGACACAACAAUGGGACAAUUAUUUAAAGAAUCACAUGAGAUCAAAAGACCUCAGCUUACAUUCUUUAGUCAUUUGUUUGAAUUCCAUUUUAGAUUAAACCAAGGAACACUUUCCCAACAUAAUGUACUAGCAUAUUCAUGGGAAUUCCUAGAGCCACUUGUGAACCAAUACCUAAGCUGCACUUAUCUAAGCUUUUCCAACAUAACUAUGAAAUUCAAGGGGAUGUCUGUGGCUUUGGGAAAGUGCCUUCUUAAGACUCACUACAGAUUCCUUCACGAAAUCCUUUGGUGCCUGGUCUCCCAGAUUUCCUAAAUCUCAGCCAAAGACUCUUCAGAUAAGAGGAAGAGAGCUGGUCUCUAUUGCCCUGCUUUCUAGACCUUGCUGUUUCCUCCUGGAUGAAGAGCUGGAGUUGAAAAGAUGAAAUGAGGGAAAAAUCCAUAUAUUGGAACAGUUUGAUAAGCACAGAAUUACCUGUGUUUAUCCUCCCAGCAAUCUACAAGGUAGGCAUCAUUAUACCCACUUGAGAAAUAAAGAAAUAGAGGAAGAAAAAGAUAUCCAACAAUUAGUAAUAGAAGAGUAGAAGUUAAACUCAAUACAACGCCAAAACCCAUGAUCUUUUCUGCUAUACCAAAAUCCAGUCUUCCUGAAAGCAGGAACCAUGUCUUUCUGUUCUCCUGUGUAAUCUCAGAAAUGACAUAUACAAAGUGUUCUUGACAAAACACAUGUAGCAAGUUAAAAGGCAAAGGAUUUACAGGAAAUGAUCUAGCUUCUUUUGUCAAAAGACAAUCCCUUUUGCCACACCAAACCAGAGAACAUAUCUCAACCAUAACUUACAACCACAGCAUCAGAGACAAGGGAUGGAGCCUUACACAUCCAUCCGUUCUGAAGUUGAUGUAUCCAAGCAUAAGAUGGCCACUUACCUAAAAGAAAGAGGAGAGAAAACAUUGUAAAUGCAGAUGCUGACAUCUUAGAAACUUUAUCUACAGAAAUAUUAAAAUUACUUUCAUUUUAUAAUCAAUAUAAUCUGAGCAUAAUAAUAGAAGGAGAGCAAUUUCUUCAUCUCUUUGAAUUUUUAAAGGCCAUCUCGUAUUUUUUUGUUACAGAGUACUUCAAUUCCGGUCUUUUUCCCACAUUCUCCUUGAAUACGUUUUUGUUCUUGAGAUGCUACAACAUCUUUAAAAGACUAAUGAGUCCUCUUCUCCAGAAAAUUAAUACAGACACCUCUCUCAUAUAGCUUCAGUGGGUUCAAAGCCUUCUUGCAGUUUUCCCAGUGACCCUAUAUGGCAAACAUCUGAUAUGACACCAGACUGUACAAUAGCCCUUAAUCUUAAAUAUGCUUCAGACUGCUUCAGAAUCCCACAAAAACUUUAAAUUCCUAAAAAAAAGAUGUGUAAUAUGUGUACAAAACUGCAUCCAGCGAAUACAAAAGGUAUAUUCUUUUUUAACAUAUGUGACAUGUGAAAACUCGGUCAAGACUAGGUAGCAAAGAAAGUCUCCAGAAAUAACAAAGAAAUGACAACUAUCUGGAUGCCAACUAGAUCUGUUAGAACAUUCAAAUUUUAAAUAAGUUAAAAAACAAACAAACAAACAAACAAACCAAAGAAUUAUCAGGAAAACCUAUAAAACAAAAGGGGUGCGUGUGUGUGUGUGUGUGUGUGUGUCUAUCUGUGUGUCCGUUCCUGUCCAUGUGUCUAUUGUAUGUUGAGAUAAGGAGCUCUACUAGGUAACAUAUUAUUAGAAAGCUUAAAAAAAAAAGGAAGAAACCUUCUAUAAGAAUACCAUGGUUUUGUUGCAUAAAACAAAACAAAUAGAACAAAACAAAUAGCUCAGAAACUGCAGAAACCAAACCAGGUAUACAUGGAAAAUUAGUAUAUGAUAAGUUAACAUCUCUAAUCAGUGGAGAAAAAGAUGAAUUUUUAAAGAAAUGGUUGGACAAUUAGAUACCACUGGAAAAAAUUAAAAUUGCAUCCAUAUCCCACAU
rnacentral:lncRNA from 1 species